UACGGGGGGGCGAAGCGUUGUUCGGAAUUACUGGGCGUAAAGGGCUCGUAGGCGGCCAACUAAGUUCAGAUCGUGAAAUCCCUCGGCUUAACCGGGGAACUGCGUCUAGAUACUGGAUGGCUUGAGUUUGGGAGAGGGAUGCGGAAUUCCAGGUGUAGCGGUGAAAUGCGUAGAUAUCUGGAGGAACACCGGUGGCGAAGGCGGCAUCCUGGACCAACACGUGACGCUGAGGAGCGAAAGCCAGGGGAGCAAACGGG
rnacentral:rRNA from 1 species